AGUGAACGCUGGCGGUAGGCCUAACACAUGCAAGUCGAACGGCAGCACAGUAAGAGCUUGCUCUUACGGGUGGCGAGUGGCGGACGGGUGAGGAAUACAUCGGAAUCUACUUUUUCGUGGGGGAUAACGUAGGGAAAUUUACGCUAAUACCGCAUACGACCUACGGGUGAAAGCAGGGGAUCUUCGGACCUUGCGCGAUUGAAUGAGCCGCUGUCGGAUUAUCUAGUUGGCGGGGUAAAGGCCCACCAAGGCGACGAUCCGUAGCUGGUCUGAGAGGAUGAUCAGCCACACUGGAACUGAGACACGGUCCAGACUCCUACGGGAGGCAGCAGUGGGGAAUAUUGGACAAUGGGCGCAAGCCUGAUCCAGCAAUACCGCGUGGGUGAAGAAGGCCUUCGGGUUGUAAAGCCCUUUUGUUGGGAAAGAAAAGCAGCAGGUUAAUACCCCGCUGUUCUGACGGUACCCAAAGAAUAAGCACCGGCUAACUUCGUG
rnacentral:rRNA from 1 species